CCUACGGGUGGCUGCAGUGGGGAAUAUUGCACAAUGGGCGCAAGCCUGAUGCAGCCAUGCCGCGUGUGUGAAGAAGGCCUUCGGGUUGUAAAGCACUUUCAGCGGGGAGGAAGGCGUUAAGGUUAAUAACCUUGUCGAUUGACGUUACCCGCAGAAGAAGCACCGGCUAACUCCGUGCCAGCAGCUGCGGUAAUACGGAGGGUGCAAGCGUUAAUCGGAAUUACUGGGCGUAAAGCGCACGCAGGCGGUCUGUCAAGUCGGAUGUGAAAUCCCCGGGCUCAACCUGGGAACUGCAUUCGAAACUGGCAGGCUAGAGUCUUGUAGAGGGGGGUAGAAUUCCAGGUGUAGCGGUGAAAUGCGUAGAGAUCUGGGGGAAUACCGGGGGCGAAGGCGGCCCCCGGGACAAAGACUGACGCUCAGGUGCGAAAGCGUGGGGAGCAAACAGGAUUAAUACCCCAGUAGUC
rnacentral:rRNA from 1 species